CUACAAGGCUGACAUGAGGCAGAGGCCCCAGAAGGCUGCUCCUAGCAGUGCUCUGCGGCAUGCAGCCAGGGACUAGAAGUAAUUGGACUCUGAGGGGACUUCGGGAGAGAACUGAAUUCCUGCCAGGGACAGAAGGAUUUCUCAGGAGUGGGGGCUCCUUUAUGGGGCAAAGGGACAAGAGACCCAAAGGACUGGGAGCUGAGGACCAGAGAGAUCCAAAGGAAUGGCAGAGCCAGGAAUCGAACCCAAAUCUAGUGCCUUGACUGUGCAAAGAAAAGAGCAUUACACUUUUCCCAGAUUUAGGAUCAUAUUAUCAGAGAUGACAGUCUCAAAAAACCCUACCUCCAUCCCCCAGAAGAACACCCCAACAAGGAACAUAUCAAAUAUUAAAUCAGUACUAGCACUUACUCUGUAUAAUAAAUAAGAUGGCUGAAUGCAACAAAACAACUUCUGUGAACAUUUGCAUUUUUAAUUAAUGUAGUUCUCUUUAAUUUGAUUGGAUAGUGCAAAAUGUAGAUGUUAGUGCUA